UCUCUAAAGGCGGAAGGUAAGGAAACUCCGCUAAGGGCUCUCACAUCCUGUGAGAAACGCCCAGUACCUUCGUCCUGAAGGCAUUUGUUUGGUGGCGAUAGCGAAGAGGUCACACCCGUUCCCAUACCGAACACGGAAGUUAAGCUCUUCAGCGCCGAUGGUAGUCGGGGGUUUCCCCCUGUGAGAGUAGGACGCCGCCAAGC
rnacentral:rRNA from 1 species